rnacentral:rRNA from 1 species
UACAGAGGUGGCCAGCGUUGUUCGGAAUUACUGGGCGUAAAGGGCGCGUAGGCGGCCUUCUAAGUCAGACGUGAAAUCCCCCGGCUUAACCUGGGAACUGCGUCUGAUACUGGGAGGCUUGAGUAUGGGAGAGGGAUGUAGAAUUCCAGGUGUAGCGGUGAAAUGCGUAGAUAUCUGGAGGAAUACCGGUGGCGAAGGCGGCAUCCUGGACCAUAACUGACGCUGAGGCGCGAAAGCUAGGGGAGCAAACGGG